rnacentral:rRNA from 1 species
AUGGAUCAGGAGCUGAUCAAGCACCUUGAGGCCAAAGUGAGUGCUGACAGCGCGAGAUCUCACCCUCUCAUCGAUUUGUUCAUACCAACUAUCGACAGCGAGCACGACAUAUGCUACACGCAUCCUGAGAAACUUCCAGACCUGCACAAUUCUAGGGCAUUCAAAAGGGGCACGUGGACGCGUCGCAAGAUACAGUCGGAAUGCGGCAUGCACGCGAUGUGGCACAACACCGGCAAUACCUUGCCGGUGAUGGUCAACGGCCGGCACACGGGCAGCAAAAAGGUUCUGGUGCUGCACACCAACAAGAACUUCGACCAGCAAAGGACCAACUGGGUGAUGCACCAGUACCACCUCGGGGACCUGGAGCAAGAGAAGGAGCGGGAGAUGGUCCAGCCCAUGACGACAACGGGGCACAAAGAUCCAGCAGGUAUCUACUGGCCUCUGGCCCGCCAGCGUUAG